AGGAUGAACGCUGGCGGCGUGCUUAACACAUGCAAGUCGAACGAACCUUCGGGUUAGUGGCGGACGGGUGAGUAACGCGUGGGAAUCUGCCCUCAGGAGGGGGAUAACGGUUGGAAACGACCGCUAAUACCCCAUAUGCCGAGAGGUGAAAUGAAUUUCGCCUGAGGAUGAGCCCGCGUCUGAUUAGCUAGUUGGUGUGGUAAUGGCUCACCAAGGCAUCGAUCAGUAGCUGGUCUGAGAGGAUGAUCAGCCACACUGGGACUGAGACACGGCCCAGACUCCUACGGGAGGCAGCAGUGGGGAAUUUUCCGCAAUGGGCGAAAGCCUGACGGAGCAACGCCGCGUGAGGGAUGAAGGCCUCUGGGCUGUAAACCUCUUUUCUCAAGGAAGAAGAUCUGACGGUACUUGAGGAAUAAGCCACGGCUAAUUCCGUGCCAGCAGCCGCGGUAAUACGGGAGUGGCAAGCGUUAUCCGGAAUUAUUGGGCGUAAAGCGUCCGCAGGCGGCCUUUCAAGUCUGCUGUUAAAACGUGGAGCUUAACUCCAUCAUGGCAGUGGAAACUGUUGGGCUUGAGUGUGGUAGGGGCAGAGGGAAUUCCCGGUGUAGCGGUGAAAUGCGUAGAUAUCGGGAAGAACACCAGUGGCGAAGGCGCUCUGCUGGGCCAUCACUGACGCUCAUGGACGAAAGCCAGGGGAGCGAAAGGGAUUAGAUACCCCUGUAGUCCUGGCCGUAAACGAUGAACACUAGAUGUCGGGGGAAUCGACCCCCUCGGUGCCGUAACCAACUCGUUAAGUGUUCCGCCUGGGGAGUACGCACGCAAGUGUGAAACUCAAAGGAAUUGACGGGGGCCCGCACAAGCGGUGGAGUAUGUGGUUUAAUUCGAUGCAACGCGAAGAACCUUACCAGGGUUUGACAUCCUGCGAAUCUCUUGGAAACGAGAGAGUGCCUUCGGGAACGCAGUGACAGGUGGUGCAUGGCUGUCGUCAGCUCGUGUCGUGAGAUGUUGGGUUAAGUCCCGCAACGAGCGCAACCCACGUUUUUAGUUGCCAGCAUUUAGUUGGGCACUCUAGAGAGACCGCCGGUGAUAAACCGGAGGAAGGUGUGGACGACGUCAAGUCAUCAUGCCCCUUACAUCCUGGGCUACACACGUACUACAAUGCUACGGACAAAGGGCAGCAAGUUCGCGAGGACAAGCAAAUCCCAUAAACCGUGGCUCAGUUCAGAUCGUAGGCUGCAACUCGCCUACGUGAAGGCGGAAUCGCUAGUAAUCGCAGGUCAGCAUACUGCGGUGAAUACGUUCCCGGGCCUUGUACACACCGCCCGUCACACCAUGGAAGUUGGCCACGCCCGAAGUCGUUACUCCAACCCUUGUGGAGGAGGACGCCGAAGGUGGGGCUGAUGACUGGGGUGAAGUCGUAACAAGGUAGCCGU
rnacentral:rRNA from 1 species